UACGUAGGGUGCAAGCGUUAAUCGGAAUUACUGGGCGUAAAGCGUGCGCAGGCGGUUGUGCAAGACCGAUGUGAAAUCCCCGGGCUUAACCUGGGAAUGGCAUUGGUGACUGCACGGCUAGAGUGUGUCAGAGGGGGGUAGAAUUCCACGUGCAGCAGUGAAAUGCGUAGAGAUGUGGAGGAAUACCGAUGGCGAAGGCAGCCCCCUGGGAUAACACUGACGC
rnacentral:rRNA from 1 species